GCUGGUUGUGCCGUACCUGCACUUUACUUUAGUUUGGACCUGAGGUAGGCAAUAGGAUUAUUCUUGGCACGCAUAGUGAUGUGGGAAGUUUUGACGUCUAGGCAUGUGUGAAGCGGCGUGUCAUAUGAACGAAUAACGAUCAAGAUGAGCACCAAGAAUAAUUAAGAAACUUAUGUUAUGGAUUAUGUUUCAAGUUUCGUCAGUGGGACUUAUUUUGUUUAUUUUAUUUUCAAAUACUGCAUAACGACAUAAUAUUUUUAUUUCAAACUAAUGGGCCUAAAUUGCAUGUUUUAUCAAGGCCCCACUGAACUUUUCCUUAAAAUGGUAUUUUUCUAAUA